rfam:Hippea maritima DSM 10411, complete genome.
CGCGGGGUGGAGCAGUCUGGUAGCUCGUCGGGCUCAUAACCCGAAGGUCGGAGGUUCAAAUCCUCCCCCCGCUA